ensembl:lncRNA
CGUGGCCGUCCCCUUCGCCGUGGGAUGCGGGGAUUUGGGGCGGCUGAAGGAGUCGGGGCCCCCACCACCUCAGCGCUGCUGCCCUCACAGGGGCCGGGCCUCCCCGAGCCUCCAGUGCUUGUUGAGGUUUCAGUCUCCAUUCUGCUGAUCCGAAAGAAAGAAGGCGGCUUUUGGAGGACUUGAUCAUCGCGAGUCGAGCUGCUGCUGAACCUCCCCUUCCAACAUCCAGCAGGUUUGUUCUGCAGGCCCCAAUGAUGGCACAGGCAUGAAAGAGCCCAGAGCUCGUCGCUGGGGAGAGGCUGCGUAUGGCGUUGUGAAGGGAGAGAUGGAGGAGGG